rnacentral:rRNA from 1 species
CCUACGGGGGGCUGCAGUGGGGAAUAUUGGACAAUGGGCGAAAGCCUGAUCCAGCCAUGCCGCGUGUGUGAAGAAGGCCUUCGGGUUGUAAAGCACUUUCAGUGGGGAAGAAAGCCUUGGGGCUAAUACCCUCGAGGAAGGACAUCACCCACAGAGGAAGCACCGGCUAACUCCGUGCCAGCAGCCGCGGUAAUACGGAGGGUGCGAGCGUUAAUCGGAAUUACUGGGCGUAAAGCGCGCGUAGGCGGUCUGAUAAGCCGGUUGUGAAAGCCCCGGGCUCAACCUGGGAACGGCAUCCGGAACUGUCAGGCUAGAGUGCAGGAGAGGAAGGUAGAAUUCCCGGUGUAGCGGUGAAAUGCGUAGAGAUCGGGAGGAAUACCAGUGGCGAAGGCGGCCUUCUGGACUGACACUGACGCUGAGGUGCGAAAGCGUGGGUAGCAAACAGGAUUAGAUACCCGAGUAGUC